AUUGUGUGUGUUUGUAAGUCGCUCUGGAUAAGAGCGUCUGCUAAAUGACUUAAA
rfam:Salmo salar isolate Sally breed double haploid chromosome ssa18, whole genome shotgun sequence.